UUAAAAAAGAAAAACUAUUUUUGCUGUACAAAUGUCCCACCCGUGACGAUGGAAUACCCCAACAGUCAAAAAAUGUGGAUACGAUGUUGUGGCCAUUGUUAGCGAUUUGGGUGGAAGUAACAGAGCACUAUACAAUGAGCUUGAAGUGGAUAUGCAGAAGCCUUGAUAUAUUUAGACAUAGUUCUAAAAUUCCGAAAAUACAUAUUAAUACUUUUGUUUCUUCUUUUACAGGUUUUCACAUGAAGGGGACAGAAUUGUAGUUUUUGCUGAUGUUCCCCAUUUAAUCAAACUGCAAAGGAAUCAUUUUGUUGAUCACGGAUUCCUCAUAAAUGGAAAAGUAAUUAAAAAGGACAUCAUUUUCAAACUUUUGCGUUUACUUCCAGUGAUCUGUCAAUCACCCACAAAAUUUCAAAAAUCAUUUGCUUGUUACGGGAGCAGAAAGGCAAAAGGUUAAACUAGCUACAAAAUUAUUCUCGCACACCAUUGCUCAAGCCAUAUCACGAGAAGCUAGUUUGGGCUUAUUAGAGGACGAGAAUUGGGAAGAAUGCUUUAAACUUUUUAAAAUUACGAAUGACUGGUUUGACUUAAUGAAUGUCAGAGUGCCCAAAGAAGGAGUAAGGGAGCGACUACAUGCCUAUGGUUUGGCUUUAAAUACCCAGAAUAAUACAUACAUAUGUAUAUAUGACUUACAUUGUAAUACUUAGAUUUUUGUCCAAAAAGGUAUCCUUCAAAGUAACAAUGCGUUGAAAUUACUUUUGUCUGAUAAAUACAAAAUCGACUACAUAUUGACGUAUCGCCUAAAUCAAGAUGUUUUGGAAAUUUUUUUUGGCAUUAUUAGAUCGAAAAGAGAGCUUCACGACCACCCUGACCACCAAGAGUUUAAAUAUAGGCUGCGGUCAUACAUACUUGGGCACAACAAAGGUGUAUUGUCUGAAGGAGGGAACGUUGAGGUCGACGACACCCCAGACUUAGAAGGGAAUUAUUUAUCUCUAACCGGUAACAUGUUACAACGGGUCUCAGUUGAGAUGAACUCCACUGAUGUAUCUGAGCAAAGUGAAGAUUUAGAAGUCCUGAACAUCGACGGUUUGGAGAAUUUGGCAGGAUACAUCUGCCACAAACUUGGAAAAGAUAAUCCGGAAAUCUGCAUGAAUCCAGAAACUGAUUCGUCAUAUACUUGGGUGAAUCAUGUUUCUGAAGGAGGACUUUCAAAGCCAACUGAUAUGUUGAUGGAGCAUAUGAAAGCACUGCUAGCAGUUUUUGAUGAGGUGAAUGGCAGUGAAUUGUAUAUAUGUAAAGAUUAUCUUAAGAAACACUUAGACCUAAGUAGUCAUGUAAAUUGUAGUCAAAAAGUAAAAGAACUGUUUUUUAGAGCUAGAAUGUAUUUCAGAAUCCGAUCACUAAAUAAGUCUAUUGUAGAAAAUCAAUACAGUAAAAAGCGUAAAUUGAAUAAAACAGUAACUUGAAUUCCCAAACUUA